rnacentral:rRNA from 1 species
CCACAUGACUCUCGGCAACGGAUAUCUCGGCUCUCGCAUCGAUGAAGAACGUAGCGAAAUGCGAUACCUGGUGUGAAUUGCAGAAUCCCGCGAACCAUCGAGUCUUUGAACGCAAGUUGCGCCCGAGGCCACCCGGCCGAGGGCACGCCUGCCUGGGCGUCACGC